UUUACUCUUAGCGGUGGAUCACUUGGCUCGUGGAUCGAUGAAGAACGCAGCUAGCUGCGAUAAAUAGUGCGAAUUGCAGACACAUUGAGCACUAAAAUUUCGAACGCACAUUGCGCCAUCGGGUUCAUUCCCGUUGGCAUGUCUGGCUGAGGGUUAAUU
rnacentral:rRNA from 1 species